rnacentral:rRNA from 1 species
CGGAGGCAGCAGUGGGGAAUAUUGGACAAUUGGGGAAACCCUGAUCCAGCGACGCCGCGGGAGUGAAGAAGUAUUUCGGUAUGUAAAGCUCUAUCAGCAAGGAAGAAAAUGACGGUACUUGACUAAGAAGCUCCGGCUAAAUACGUGCCAGCAGCCGCGGUAAUACGUAUUGAGCAAGCGUUAUCCGGAUUUACUGGGUGUAAAGGGAGCGUAGACGGCGAAGCAAGUCUGAAGUGAAAUGCCGGGGCUUAACCCCGGAACUGCUUUGGAAACUGUUUUGCUAGAGUGCAGGAGAGGUAAGCGGAAUUCCUAGUGUAGCGGUGAAAUGCGUAGAUAUUAGGAGGAACACCAGUGGCGAAGGCGGCUUACUGGACUGUAACUGACGUUGAGGCUCGAAAGCGUGGGGAGCAAACAGGAUUAGAUACCCUGGUA